GCCUAGGUGGCUCAGUGGUUAAAGCGUCUGUCUUUGGCUCAGGGUGUGAUCCUGGGGUCCUGGGAUCGAGUCCCACAUUGGGCU
rnacentral:tRNA from 1 species